rnacentral:rRNA from 1 species
AGCCCGUCGGCCGGUCCGCGCUUCCCUCCCGGGACGCGGCCGGNCGGUGUGCCGGCUCCGGCUUGCGGCGCAUUUCCUCCCGUCCUCCGACGCCGCGACCGGUCGGGCGCGCCACGAGCGGUCGGCCUUACUCGCGGGAAACGGAAGGUAGCCGGGUCGUCGCUUCGGCGUCGUUCCCCGGUGUUCUAGCCGUCCCGCAAUCGAGUCAGCCGUUCGCCCGACCGCAGGAACCAAGGCCCUCAGGGGCCCCGCCGUGCCCUCCCCGUUCUCCGGGGAUCGCUUCCCGUCCCGGAAGGGAUGCCGCCUGUCCCGCGCCGCACCUCCGGUGCACGUGGGGCGGCGGCGCCCGCUGGCUGGGACGUUUGCGAUUCGGGUGCCGGCGGUCCGCGGCGAGUAGGUCGGUCACCCACUCGACCCGUCUUGAAACACGGACCAAGGAGUUUAACAUGCACGCGAGUCACUGGGUCGUGAGCAGGCCCAAGGGCGCAAUGAAAGUGAAGGGCGGCCCAUGCCGUCCGCGUUGGGAUCCCCCGGCCUCCGCGCCGGGGGCGCACCAACGGCUCGUCCGGGCCGCCACGUCGGCCGGGCGAAGCCAGAGCGUGCAC